rnacentral:lncRNA from 1 species
GGGGAAGCAAGACAACUGAGUAAGCAGGAUUUGAAAUUAAUGCAGGGAAAAGAGAAACUGACCAAGGACAAGAAAUCGAUCCUUCAAAAAGAAAAAAGAGCUGAGGAGGAAGAAAUAUCACCCAUCUCACAAAAGAAGUUAACCAAGGCAGAGCAGAAGUUAGUCCAAGGAGAAAAGAAGGGAACUGGGAAAGAAGAGGAACUACUAGGAAAAGGAAAGAGGGUGAACUGGGAAAGGGGAAAGGUCACCCCGGGACAAAGGACAUGGUACUGGGAGAAGGUUACGGUGGACCACAAAGAAGGUAGGCAGGCCCAGGAAGAGGAGCUGAGGAGCUGAUGGCAGGAAGAGGAGCUGAUGGAGGAAGAGGAGGAGCUGAUGGAGGAAGAGGAGGAGCUGAUGGAGGAAGAGGAAGAGCUGAUGGAGGAAGAGGAGGUGCUGAGCAAGGAAGAGGAGGAGUUGAGUGAGGAAGAUGAAGAGCUGAGGAAGGAAUUGGAGGUGCUGGGUGAGGAACUGGAGAAGAUGAUUGUGGCACUGGGGGAGCUCAAUGAGGAACUGGAGGAGCUGGGUGAGGAAGAGGAGGUGUUGGCCCAGGAGAAGGAGGAAAUAAUCCAGAACCUAGAGAAACAAAUUGAAAAAAUGAUGAAAAACUAUCGCAAAAUAAAGAAACAAAUGGGGGAAAUGGAGAAACAUGAUGAGGAAGAGGCCUGGGAAAGGGAAAAAUUGGCCCAGGAAGAGGAACAUUUGUCUAAAGAAGAGGAAAGACUGUCUGGGAAAGAGGGAAAACGGACAUUAAAAAGACACAGCUUGGUAAAGCAAGAGAUGAAAUUGAUCCGAGAAAAAAAGAAAUCAUUCAUGAUAGAGAAGAAAGAGGCCCAUAAAAAGAAACAAAUCCAAGAAAAGGAAAAGCAAAUUGAGAAACCGGAGAAAGUAGACCAGAAGGAGAGGCAGGCUAAGGAAAAGGAGGAAGAUGCCAAGGACAAACAAUUAGCCAGGGAAAGACAGAAACUAAGCCAAAAAGAGGAGGAAAUGUUUGGAGAAAAGGAGAAACUGUCACAACAAGAAGUUAAAC